GUUGUGGCUCAGUGGUAGAGCACUUUCCUAGCAUUUUUGAGGCACUGGGUUCAAUCCUCAGCACCACG
rnacentral:tRNA from 1 species